rnacentral:rRNA from 1 species
GCCCGCUCAGAACUCAAAGAUUGACGGGACCGCACAAGCGGCGGAGCAUGCGGAUUAAUUCGAUGCAACGCGAAGAACCUUACCAAGGCUUGACAUAUAGAGGAAACGUCUGGAAACAGUCGCCCCGCAAGGUCUCUAUACAGGUGGUGCAUGGUUGUCGUCAGCUCGUGUCGUGAGAUGUUGGGUUAAGUCCCGCAACGAGCGCAACCCUCGUUCUAUGUUGCCAGCACGUAAUGGUGGGAACUCAUGGGAUACUGCCGGGGUCAACUCGGAGGAAGGUGGGGAUGACGUCAAAUCAUCAUGCCCCUUAUGUCUUGGGCUUCACGCAUGCUACAAUGGCCGGUACAAAGGGCUGCAAUACCGUAAGGUGGAGCGAAUCCCAAAAAGCCGGUCCCAGUUCGGAUUGAGGUCUGCAACUCGACCUCAUGAAGUCGGAGUCGCUAGUAAUCGCAGAUCAGCAACGCUGCGGUGAAUACGUUCCCGGGUCUU